ACAUGUUUUUCUACUUUUUACACAUCCAAUUAAUUAAAAGUAAAAAUAGCUCCAUCAAAAUUUAUUUCUGGCUAAAGAUAGCAGCUACCGUUACCUUGUCACUCUGAACAAUUAAAACUGGAUUAAAGACUGAAAAAAGAAAACAUACAAAGAAAAGAACUUGGUAAGCACUAUCAAACUCUUAUUCCAAAAAAAAAUUUAAAAAAAUCAUCAAUUAAAUAACAAAACUUAAAAUAAAUUACUGGGGGUGCAGCUGGGGCAGUAAGUUUUAAACAACACUGGAAAAAAGAGAAUGAAUUAAGAAUAACAAAGUUAUUGCUAAUUAACAGGAAAUAACUCCUCUAUAAUACUAACAGAAGUAUCUACCACUUUUUUUUAAAACUCUCUUUUCAAAAAACACUAGAUGACAAGAAUUUUUGAAUAAAAGACCAAUUUAAGUUGACGUUUUCCACAUACAAAUUUUUUUUAAUGAAGCAAUAAUUAAGGCAGAGUAUUGUCCCCUACUUAACUUACCAGUCAUAAUGUCUUUGCCUCCCCGUUUCCAUAUCUUAGUGCUUUCAAAGAAAAUUACAAAGUGCUAAACUAAAAAUAUCACAAGUAGCUGUUAACCCUUUUGAAAAGAAAUAGCACAGCCUUAGUAGUAAAUCUCUUUUCUUCAAAGUGAGCAUUGCUCCAUGACAAAUGAUAUCUCCCUCUGUGUUCUGCACAUGCGAACAAUUUCCUGAAUUUUAAGCCACACCUCUUUCAGUAAGAGAGAUGCCAUGAUGGGCACUGGUAGAGGAUAGCUUUGUUUCUCAAACACACAUUGCAAGGAACAAUUUACUGAUUCUUUUCACAGCUACAAUCAGCAUUUCAGGAUUUCAAAAAAGGAACGAAUAUCAAGGAAGGAUUAACACGUUGUCUUCAUAUCUGACAGCAAAAAAAAAAAAAAAAAAAGGCAUCGCAUGUGAGAAAACACAAAAGUUUUACUCAAGGCAUGGCAUGGAAGGCCCAGAAAGAAUUCUUAAUUAUUCGCACGAGAAAAAAGCAUCAUAAGAAUGCUGAAUUAAUAUUUGCACUGAGUUAGUAAAUUUUAAUUUAGUGUAGUCAGUUUUAAGAACAUUCCAGACAGAGUUUUAAAAUUCAAAGAAAAGUUUUACAAUGCUGAUUGAAAUUAUUUUGAUAUGCAGAUCCAAAGAGAAGACAUUAUACUGGUGGAGGGAGGGGUUAAAGAAAAUUUAAAUGGUCAUUGCAUGGCCUAGCCUCUAAGAAACCAAAAUCUAUUUUUCUUUCUAAUAUAACUAAAAAGGAAAGGAAAAAAUUGACAACUUAAAUUAUAAGCUAUAUUAUGUCAGUGUUUUAUGAGAUUAUGUUUCUUAAUCCUUUUAUCUUUUUUGCUAUAUUUGUGAUAAAAAUGACAAUAGUAUAAAUCAUAACUAACAAUUCACAAAAACAUGAAUAAUAAGCAUGGAUAAGAUUAUCUUGCCAACUGGAUCUCUCUUUACUCAACCACCUAUUUAUUUCAACAUAAAAUACAAGACAUAAGUUACAUAAAAGAUAUGCCUCCAAUUUAUUUUUGUAAAAUUUUAAAACUAAGCCUUCUCUCGCUCCAGCCACUGAAAUAUUUAGGGACUCAAAUAUUUGGUGUUCAGGUUAUACGUUGUGUUAUGGAAGAAGAGUUAUUUUUAUCUGCAACCAGUCUCAGAGGAGACAUGUGAAUGUAUGACACAACCCACUUUAAAAUGCAUCACAACAUAACAUGCAAAGGAAUUAAAGCUCAUUAGAGGUUGUGAAUCUUUAAUUACUGAUAAAACAUUGAAGCAUCAUUGAUACAAUUUAAUGUUUAGCAAAAACCAAUAAUAAAGCUUCAUGCCUACUUUGAUAAUAGCAUAGGUCAGAUUAGAAUAGUUGGCCAGCAUGACCUUCAAGUCUUUUAGUGUCACUAGGUGAUAGAAAUAACAGUUAACCUAGGGAGUGUUUUAGUUAGCUGGUGCUAGAGGAAAAUGAAGUUUAGGUUAGAAAAGGAAACAUCAGCAUUGAGAAACCUCCUAUGCACACUGAUGGCUGUGAGAAACAGGAUCAUGAUACCAGGUGCAGUUGGGAUUCAGCUACUGUUAUGUAGAUGAGGUCACGGUGGAUGAUGCGGUUGCUGUGCAGGAAGUCCACACCAUUAACCAGCUGUAGCAUCAGGUCCUGCAAUAGAAGAUUGUACUAAGAAGUUUAAAUGGGCAAAGCUGUGGCUGAUGGUGCCUACUAUUAUAAGAAAGUAUUGGUGUACACACCCGAAUUCGAUCUGGGCCAAGGCCUGGGGACGGACAUUUCUGGAGGGCACUUUUGCCACUGCUGUAUAACUACGACCCCAGGGAUAAAUCAACAUUCACAGGGACCUUCACUAUUUCUCCACAAUGCGGGACUGAAAAGGUGUCUACCAUACUGGCAGUCCAGAAGAUCUACAAAUAUGUGGUAUCCACACUGAGAUGCCAAGCCAGUGCUUUUGAUAUUGAUUCUGAUUCCUCAGCUCUUCACCUUACACACACCAACAUCCAUGGGAUAGCAUCUGGAAACCUGUUCAUGAUUUACUUUUUAAGUCAAAGUCAGAAUAGCAGUGGUAAGUGAUAUACAAAUCAAUGUGUUCUUCAAUACGAAGUAGUUGACACAUUUCUCUGAGUAAUAUUUGACAUCACUGAUAAGAGCCUCCAUCAGAAAAAUCAACCAAUGAGAGAGCCAAGAGGACAAUCACCUGCUGGAGCUGCUAUGAUUAGACAAGCAAGAGCGCUUUUCAUUGCCCUUUUUUGGGGGGAAAUUCAAGCAUCACAAGGACUGUCAGCUCAUGCACUAUCUCCUUAAGGUUCAAGGCCUUCCAAGAUCAUGUCAACCAUAAUUGUAAACAUAAAGCACACAGCCUGCAGAUGCACCAAAUGUGAUGUAUUUUCUGCUGUACUUUUCAAUAGACCAUACCAGUUCUACAUUCAUCUCCUUCCACAGCCCGUCUUCCGUAAACCAUGUUGAUGGUGCUAUCUACCAUCAGGGCCUUUGUACAAGUGCUGUCAGUAAUAGCCACAGUCCCUUUGGUGAACAGGUUAAAGUUUACUAUCAAUACCCUCUUGUUAUGGUCAUAAAUCACUCAAAUAUAGUUGAAUAUAGUAUUAGUGAUUGUAGUAGCCACAAUUUCACACACCCACCACUAUUUUUUGAUAAAUUACACACUUAUUCAUUCAGUCCUUCUUGUACAUUCAAAAGAUAAUGGUCUUAUUUGUUAUCUUGCCAUUAUCUCACCAACCCCUCCUCUCGCCACGCUUUGUGACAGAAUGGAUGUCCAAAACUCUAAACGUUACCCCACCUAUGGACUCUAUACCCUUUUUACAUUUUCACACUUAACACUUGCGUUGAAUGCAAGAUAAUAAAUUUGGACUGUACUUACAUGUCUCAUAAACUAUAUAUAUAUAGAGAGAGAGAAUGUACCUCAACUGUCUGACCUGCAACUAAUGUUUAUAUUUUCGCUUUACGAUGUCUCAGCAGAUUUCAAUUUUAAUUUGAUCGAAUUAAAUUUUUUUGUAUCAACAGUGAAAAUUAAGCAUCAUUCAAAACAGCUCUUUAUCUACUGCACCUAAGACUACAGAAGCACCUGAACGUUUUUUUGUUAUUUUUUAGAUGGUCCUGAAAGGCCUCUAUAAAGUCUAAUUAGGAAUUUAAAUAACAAUACGAGUCUAGUCAAAACAUAUUUGCAAUGAAAAUAUAAUACAGCUAAGAAUUGUAUUUCCGGUUUCUAUGCUCUACUGGGGGUUAGGAACAAGGAGGAGAAGAACUGUAUUUGUAACAUGUACAAAAAGAAAUUACACAUUUUAAAACAAAAUUCUCUGGUUGUUUUGCAAAGAAAAAAACCCUUGCUAUUUCUUCACACACUCUGAAUUUUAAAAGAAUUUGUUCCAACAGUACAUUUAUUGCAUAUGUUCAAAUGAAGGCAUUAUAAAUCACAUAUCUGUAUGCAUGUAGACACUGACUACAGGACAAUUUUAUGAAAAUAGACACAAUAAAAAAUUUUACAAAAUAAAAUUAAAGGAUUUCCUACCAUUUAAAAAAAAAGUUGAUGGACAGACCAAAGAAACGUAAAAAACUUGGGUCCUGCCGUGGCUGUACCUCUAAAUGGUGAUUCAAAUAAACUAAAAGCAAAUUAGAAAACUGAUAAUCGCUAAAUAAAGUGCUUACACAUAUAAUUUUUAAAUUACCCCUCCCCCAAAAUCAUAAAAUAUAAGAGAUCUGUAAUAGUGUGAUCCAUAUUUUAUAAAUAUUGUAUAAAUAUAUCAAAUUUACAUACUGAUUUAGAUUUAUCAGAUGUUUGGUAAUAGUGCCUGUGAUACCUGAUUUAUAUUGUAAAGAGGGAAAAUCAAUAAAAUAUAGUGCAAUGCUAUUAAAACACAAUGCUAUUUUUGUACAGCUUUCUAAGGUUUGUGAGGCAGCUAUUAUCAUCCAUAAGAAAAAGUGCGAUAAUAACUGAAAAUUAACAUCGUCCGUGUAGCAUUAUGUCUUUACGACUCUGACGCUCAAUUAAACACUGCAAUAUAUUUGAAAAUAUUGCUGUUUACUGAGUGUUGCGCUGGGCCGAUGCUUUCAAGGGGACAAAGAAUUAAAAGAAAAAAAAAAUUGGAAAUCGCACAAAGCUGCUAUGA